GCUGGGCGUGGUGAUGCAUGCCUGUAGUCCCAGCUACUCAGGAGGCUGAGAUGGGAGGAUUGCUUGAGCCCGGGAGAUUGAGGCUGCAGUGAGCCAUGAUUGUGCCACUGCACUCACCCUGGGUGACAGAGCGAGAUCCUGUCUUAA
ensembl:misc_RNA Metazoa_SRP Metazoan signal recognition particle RNA